CUCUCUCUCUCUCUCUCUCUCUCUCUCUCUCUCUCUCUCUCUCUCUCUCUCUCUCUCUCUCUCUCUCAGUUUCCCUUCACUUGUAUAUAUAUGUAAAUCCGUAAUCCAUAAGGCCCAGUGGAUGAUAGACGGAUUGGAUGAGUGGAUGAUGGGUGGAUGGGUGUGACUAUAGAUGUCACGAAUGAUGGGGCUAUGCGGGGUUAGGUCACCUUGUCCUAUCAUCAACUCCAUAGGCUACCCUAGACGCUACCUCACAUAACCUAGCAAAGAGGAUCUAAUGCUAAAUACUGACACUCAUAACAUAGCAAAGAGGUUCUGAUACUAAAUACUGACACUCAUAACAUAGCAAAGAGGUUCUAAUACUAAAUACUGACACUCAUAACAUAGCAAAGAGGUUCUAAUACUAAACACUGACACUCAUAACAUAGCAAAGAGGUUCUAAUACUAAAUACUGACACUCAUAACAUAGCAAAGAGGUUCUAAUACUAAACACUGACACUCAUAACAUAGCAAAGAGGUUCUAAUACUAAAUACUGACACUCAUAACAUAGCAAAGAGGUUCUAAUACUAAAUACUGACACUCAUAACAUAGCAAAGAGGUUCUGAUACUAAAUACUGACACUCAUAACAUAGCAAAGAGGUUCUAAUACUAAAUACUGACACUCAUAACAUAGCAAAGAGGUUCUAAUACUAAAUACUGACACUCAUAACAUAGCAAAGAGGUUCUAAUACUAAAUACUGACACUCAUAACAUAGCAAAGAGGUUCUAAUACUAAAUACUGACACUCAUAACAUAGCAAAGAGGUUCUGAUACUAAAUACUGACACUCAUAACAUAGCAAAGAGGUUCUAAUACUAAAUACUGACACUCAUAACCUAGCAAAUGGAUUAUACAUGAGCUAUAUAUUGCCUCUUUUAACACAGCAAACAGUUAACAUAGCAAACAUAUUCUUAAUACUAUAAAUACUGUCCUUUUUAACACAGCAAACAGUUAACAUAGCAAACAUAUUCUUAAUACUAUAAAUACUGUCCUUUUUAACACAGCAAACAGAUUAUAGAUGAGUUCAAUUCUGCCUCACUUAACCUAGCAGAUGGAUUAUACAUGAGCUAUAUAUUGCCUCUUUUAACACAGUAAACAGUUAACAUAGCAAACAUAUUCGUAAUAUUAUAAAUACCGUCCUUUUUAACACAGCAAAGAGUUCAUAAAUGCUCAAAAUAACACCACUUUUAAAAUAGCAGACAGAUAAGAGAGAAGUUAGAUUUUAAAUGCUCUAAAUACUCCUUUUUUUUAACCUAGCAAAGAGCUCAUAAAUGCUCUAAAUACUCCCUUUUUUAACCUAGCAAAGAGUUCAUAAAUGCUCAAAAUACCACCACAUUUAAAAUAGCAACACCUAGGUAAAUACACACACACACACACACACACACACACACACACUAAAUACUCCCUUUUUUAACCUAGCAAAGGGUUCAUAAAUGCUCAAAAUACCACCACAUUUAAAAUAGCAACACCUAGGUAAAUACACACACACACACACACACACACACACACACUAAAUACUCCCUUUUUUAACCUAGCAAAGAGUUUAUAAAUGUUCAAAAUACCACCACAUUUAAAAUAGCAACACCUAGGUAAACACACACAGACACACACACACAAAAUACUCCUUUUUUUAACAUAGCAAUUCAAAAUACCACCACUUUUAACAUAGCAACAACUAGGUAAACACACACACACACACACACACACACACACACACACAAGUCUCCCAGCACAUCGUCCAAGCAAGGGGGACAUUCUACAAUCUAUUCCUUCUAUUGUUUCCUCCCAUGUCGCUUCAUACGCCCUAACCCACAGUAUAAAAACAGGCUUACCGCUGCUGUUGGGCUUCGUGUAGUGAGGUGGAGGUGGCGGCCAGCUGGUACUUAACGAGGCACUUACAUACUUAUAAGCGAUCUCUGUUUACUUACAUGGUGGUACGCUGGUGCUAGAUCUAAUGUGUUUGUCUCCUUAUGUAGAGGCUGUACUUAUAUUGUGUGUGUGUGCGUGUGUGUGUAU